rnacentral:piRNA from 1 species
UGAGCCUUUGAGCGCACAUGGCUGGCUGC